rnacentral:rRNA from 1 species
AAAUUGAAGAGUUUGAUCAUGGCUCAGAUUGAACGCUGGCGGCAGGCCUAACACAUGCAAGUCGAACGGUAACAGGAAGCAGCUUGCUGCUUUCGCUGACGAGUGGCGGACGGGUGAGUAAUGUCUGGGAAACUGCCUGAUGGAGGGGGAUAACUACUGGAAACGGUAGCUAAUACCGCAUAACGUCGCAAGACCAAAGAGGGGGACCUUCGGGCCUCUUGCCAUCGGAUGUGCCCAGAUGGGAUUAGCUUGUUGGUGGGGUAACGGCUCACCAAGGCGACGAUCCCUAGCUGGUCUGAGAGGAUGACCAGCCACACUGGAACUGAGACACGGUCCAGACUCCUACGGGAGGCAGCAGUGGGGAAUAUUGCACAAUGGGCGCAAGCCUGAUGCAGCCAUGCCGCGUGUAUGAAGAAGGCCUUCGGGUUGUAAAGUACUUUCAGCGGGGAGGAAGGGAGUAAAGUUAAUACCUUUGCUCAUUGACGUUACCCGCAGAAGAAGCACCGGCUAACUCCGUGCCAGCAGCCGCGGUAAUACGGAGGGUGCAAGCGUUAAUCGGAAUUACUGGGCGUAAAGCGCACGCAGGCGGUUUGUUAAGUCAGAUGUGAAAUCCCCGGGCUCAACCUGGGAACUGCAUCUGAUACUGGCAAGCUUGAGUCUCGUAGAGGGGGGUAGAAUUCCAGGUGUAGCGGUGAAAUGCGUAGAGAUCUGGAGGAAUACCGGUGGCGAAGGCGGCCCCCUGGACGAAGACUGACGCUCAGGUGCGAAAGCGUGGGGAGCAAACAGGAUUAGAUACCCUGGUAGUCCACGCCGUAAACGAUGUCGACUUGGAGGUUGUGCCCUUGAGGCGUGGCUUCCGGAGCUAACGCGUUAAGUCGACCGCCUGGGGAGUACGGCCGCAAGGUUAAAACUCAAAUGAAUUGACGGGGGCCCGCACAAGCGGUGGAGCAUGUGGUUUAAUUCGAUGCAACGCGAAGAACCUUACCUGGUCUUGACAUCCACGGAAGUUUUCAGAGAUGAGAAUGUGCCUUCGGGAACCGUGAGACAGGUGCUGCAUGGCUGUCGUCAGCUCGUGUUGUGAAAUGUUGGGUUAAGUCCCGCAACGAGCGCAACCCUUAUCCUUUGUUGCCAGCGGUCCGGCCGGGAACUCAAAGGAGACUGCCAGUGAUAAACUGGAGGAAGGUGGGGAUGACGUCAAGUCAUCAUGGCCCUUACGACCAGGGCUACACACGUGCUACAAUGGCGCAUACAAAGAGAAGCGACCUCGCGAGAGCAAGCGGACCUCAUAAAGUGCGUCGUAGUCCGGAUUGGAGUCUGCAACUCGACUCCAUGAAGUCGGAAUCGCUAGUAAUCGUGGAUCAGAAUGCCACGGUGAAUACGUUCCCGGGCCUUGUACACACCGCCCGUCACACCAUGGGAGUGGGUUGCAAAAGAAGUAGGUAGCUUAACCUUCGGGAGGGCGCUUACCACUUUGUGAUUCAUGACUGGGGUGAAGUCGUAACAAGGUAACCGUAGGGGAACCUGCGGUUGGAUCACCUCCUUA